rnacentral:rRNA from 1 species
UACGUAGGGGGCAAGCGUUGUCCGGAUUUAUUGGGCGUAAAGAGCGUGUAGGCGGCCGUGUAGGUCCGUUGUGAAAACUCGAGGCUCAACCUCGAGACGUCGAUGGAAACCACACGGCUAGAGUCCGGAAGAGGAGAGUGGAAUUCCUGGUGUAGCGGUGAAAUGCGCAGAUAUCAGGAAGAACACCUAUGGCGAAGGCAGCUCUCUGGGACGGUACUGACUCUGAGACGCGAAAUCGUGGGGAGCUAACAGG